UACGUAGGUGGCAAGCGUUGUCCGGAUUUACUGGGCGUAAAGGGCGUGCAGGCGGUUUGUUAAGUGCAGGGUGAAAGCUCCCGGCUCAACUGGGAGAGGUCCUUGCAUACUGGCAAACUCGAGGGAGGCAGAGGAAAGUGGAAUUCCCGGUGUAGUGGUGAUAUGCGUAGAUAUCGGGAGGAACACCUGUGGCGAAGGCGGCUUCUGGGCCUUACCUGACG
rnacentral:rRNA from 1 species